CGGGACGCAAUUCCCGGCGGCCCGGAGGAGGGCGGGCGUCGGCGACGCCUCGGAGCUGGUCGCUCGCUCGCUCGCUCGCUCGCUUCUUACCUGGCGGGCGAGCGGGCGGCGCGAUGUCGGGCGAGGAUGGCCCAGGGGCGGGCCCGGGGGCGGCGGCGGCGGCAGCCCGUGAGCGGCGGCGGGAGCAGUUGCGGCAGUGGGGGGCGCGGGCAGGCGCCGAGCCGGGCCCCGGGGAACGGCGCGCCCGUACCGUGCGCUUCGAGCGCGCCGCCGAGUUUCUGGCGGCCUGCGCGGGUGGCGACCUGGACGAGGCGCGCUUGAUGCUGCGCGCGGCCGACCCCGACCCUGACGCCGAGCUGGACCCCUCCGCCCCGCCGCCAGCCCGCGCCGUGCUCGACUCCACCAACGCCGACGGCAUCAGCGCCCUGCACCAGGCCUGCAUCGACGAGAACCUGGAGGUGGUGCGCUUCCUGGUGGAGCAGGGCGCCACGGUGAACCAGGCGGACAACGAGGGCUGGACGCCCCUGCACGUGGCCGCCUCCUGUGGUUACCUGGACAUCGCCAGGUACCUCCUGAGCCACGGGGCCAACAUCGCCUCGGUCAACAGUGAUGGGGACCUGCCCCUGGACCUGGCCGAGUCCGACGCCAUGGAAGGGCUGCUGAAGGCCGAGAUCACCCGCCGAGGUGUGGAUGUGGAGGCAGCCAAACGGGCCGAGGAGGAAUUACUGCUUCAUGACACGAGGUGCUGGCUGAAUGGGGGCGCCAUGCCAGAGGCCCGGCACCCCCGCACAGGGGCCUCUGCCCUGCAUGUGGCCGCCGCCAAGGGCUACAUCGAAGUGAUGAGGCUGCUCCUUCAGGCUGGCUACGACCCGGAGCUGCGGGACGGGGACGGCUGGACGCCCCUGCACGCCGCAGCCCACUGGGGCGUGGAGGACGCCUGCCGCCUGCUGGCGGAGCACGGCGGGGGCAUGGACUCGCUGACCCACGCGGGGCAGCGGCCCUGUGACCUGGCAGAUGAGGAGGUGCUGAGCCUGCUGGAGGAGCUGGCCCGCAAGCAGGAGGACCUCCGGAACCAGAAGGAAGCGUCCCAGAGCAGGGGCCAGGAGCCCCCCGUGCCUUCCAGCAGCAGACACCGCAGGAGCUCCGUGUGUCGUCUGAGCAGCCGAGAGAAGAUCUCCCUCCAGGACCUGUCCAAGGAGCGCCGGCCUGGGGGCGCAGGGGGGCCCCCCAUCCGGGAUGAGGAUGAAGGAGAAGAAGGCCCCUCAGAUUCCUCCCCUGCAGAGUCCAGAACCCUCAACGGCAUCUCGUCCCCGCCACCCUCCAGCCCUCAGAGCCCCACGACCCCGGAGGAGGCCUCCUUCCCCAGGCGCUUUGGCCUCCAGAAGACGGGGAGCUCUGGUGCCCUGGGUCCCACGGGCGGGCGGGCCGCCGAGGUUGCCUCCAGGGCCGGGCUGCAGCGCUCAGCCUCCUCCUCGAGGCUGGAAGGGACCUCCACACAGGCCAGGGAGCCCCGACUUGCCAGAGUCACCCCCACCCCUUCCCGGAAGGUGCCGGAGUCGUCUGCCCCGAUUCUGGAGCCGGAGUCCCCAGGGUCCCCGGUGAAGCCAAAUGUCCCCGUAGCCUCGGCAGCGCCCCCAGCAGACUCCCGGGACCGCCGGAGGAUAUACCAGAUGCCAGUGCGGGACGAGGAGUCCGAAUCCCAGAGGAAAGCUCGCUCUCGCCUCAUGCGCCAGUCCCGGAGGUCCACACAGGGUGUGACUCUGACCGACCUGAAGGAAGCAGAGAAGGCUGCGGGGAAGGCCUCGGAGCCAGAGAAGUCGUGCCCGCAGAGCCUGGACCCUUCCCGGCGACCCCGAGUUCCGGGGCUGGAAAAUUCUGACGGCCCUGCCCAGAGAGCAGAGGCGCCUGACGGGCAAGGGCAGGGACCGCCGGCUGCCAGGGAGCACCGCCGAGUCGGCAAGGAGCGGAGGGGACCUGCUGAGGGGGAGGAGGCAGAGCCCGUGGACCGAGGCCCAGAAUCCAGCACUCCCGAGGGCGGCCCCUCAUCCCGCAGGCAGCGGGACCUCAACCCAGAACCGGAGCCAGAAUCAGAAGAGCCGGACGGAGGCUUCAGGAAGGUUCGUGACCCCAUCCAUGCCCACGAUCGUGCCAUUCACCAGUCCCCUCAAAGUGGCUUCUACAUCCCUGCCCUACUGUCCCCCGUCUUGGGCUCUGCGUGGUGGAGCAGGGCAUCUGGUCCUUUCCCAUGGCCUGAGCCGCAGUCAGCCCCGUCCGUCCCCGCAAAUGUGUGUCGGUCCGCAGGCCUGACCCGGGUCCCCCCCACCCCCACGCCCCCCCAGCUGUACGCAGACCUGCGCAGUGAGAACGAACGGCUUCGCGAGGCCCUGACCGAGACCACGCUGCAGCUGGCUCAGCUCAAGGUGGAGCUGGAGCGCGCCACACAGAGGCAGGAGCGCUUUGCAGAGAGGCCCGCCCUUCUGGAGCUGGAGAGAUUUGUGAGUGAGGGUGGCGGGGGUGGGGCCAGCUGUGUCUCCAGCCUUCCAAGCCCUUGUGGGAGGGUGAGGAGAGCCGCCUUGCCCUUCUAACCUGCUCCUCUGCCCUUUCCCACCCCCUCAACCUGGCGUAAACUUCCGACAUUCCCCCCGACACCCCCAGUCACCUUCUCCCAUUUAUUCCAGGAGCGCAGGGCCCUGGAACGAAAGGCAGCGGAGCUGGAGGAGGAGCUGAAGGCGCUGUCCGACCUCCGGGCCGACAACCAGCGGCUCAAGGAUGAGAACGCAGCCCUGAUCCGUGUCAUCAGCAAACUCUCCAAGUGACUCUGGCGGCCCUUCCCCUGCACCCAUAUUUAUACAGCUGCUUCUGCCACACGCACCCUUCCCUUGUGUGAACACGAGUGACAGGGCUCUCGAGGGAGUCUCUGAGAAGCCAUAGCCUCCUCUCGGGACCUCCAGCCUAGGAGGGGAGUACGGAGUCCCCAGGAGCCAAGGGGGGCCCUGCGAGGCCAGGAUGGAGGCGGGAGGCCGAGCCAGGUAGGGGGACGUCGCUGAGGGGGACCAGGGCUGGAGGCAGACCAGGAAGGAACCGAGGACCAAGAAGCGCCAGGACCAGAGUGGCCGCCCAAAGGUCCCCCUCACGUGUGAUGUCACCCUCGUCACCCCUCCCACUCCUGAACAGGGAUCCAAGAAUGUGCCAAGAGUCCCGCCGGCUGCGGCAGGCAGGCCUGUAUAUAGGGUCCGCGUGCAAUAGGGAGGGACGCCUUCUAUUUUUUGCUGCCCCCUCCCCGCCCACUGUCCGGGGUAGGGGGAGAAGGUAUUUUCGAGACAAAGCACAGGCACCACAAAUAAAAGUCGUGAAGUUGCCACUCA